rnacentral:rRNA from 1 species
AACGCUAGCUACAGGCUUAACACAUGCAAGUCGAGGGGCAGCGGGAAUCUAGCUUGCUAGUUUUGAUGGCGACCGGCGCACGGGUGAGUAACGCGUAUCCGACCUGCCCAUGACUCGGGCACAGCCGCUCGAAAGAGCGAUUGAUUCCCGAUAUGUCUUUGGAGUAGAUCCUUGGAUGAAAGAUUCAUCGGUCAUGGAUGGGGAUGCGUAGGAUUAGGUAGUAGGCGGGGUAACGGCCCACCUAGCCGACGAUCCUUAGGGGUUCUGAGAGGAAGGUCCCCCACACUGGAACUGAGACACGGUCCAGACUCCUACGGGAGGCAGCAGUGAGGAAUAUUGGUCAAUGGUCGGAAGACUGAACCAGCCAAGUAGCGUGAAGGAUGAAGGUUCUAUGGAUUGUAAACUUCUUUUAUACGGGAAUAAAACCUCUCACGUGUGGGAGCUUGUAUGUACCGUAUGAAUAGGCAUCGGCUAACUCCGUGCCAGCAGCCGCGGUAAUACGGAGGAUGCGAGCGUUAUCCGGAUUUAUUGGGUUUAAAGGGAGCGUAGACGGGAUGUUAAGUCGGUUGUGAAAGGCUGCGGCUCAACCGCAACACUGCAGUUGAUACUGGCGUCCUUGAGUGCGGUUGAGGUGUGUGGAAUUCGUGGUGUAGCGGUGAAAUGCUUAGAUAUCACGAAGAACUCCGAUUG